rnacentral:tRNA from 2 species
GCAUCCGUAGCAUAAUUGGAAAUGCCACUCCCUUCUAAGGAGUUUUAUGGGGGUUCGAGUCCCUUCGGGUGUU